rnacentral:rRNA from 1 species
UACGAAGGGUGCAAACGUUGCUCGGAAUUAUUGGGCGUAAAGAGCGCGCAGGCGGUCGUUCAAGUCGAGUGUGAAAGCCCCCCGGCUCAACUGGGGAGGGUCAUUCGAUACUGAUCGACUCGAAGGCAGGAGAGGGAAGCGGAAUUCCCGGUGUAGUGGUGAAAUGCGUAGAUAUCGGGAGGAACACCAGUGGCGAAGGCGGCUUCCUGGCCUGUUCUUGACGCUGAGGCGCGAAAGCUAGGGGAGCAAAACGGG